rnacentral:rRNA from 1 species
CGCCUGUUUAACAAAAACAUCUCUUUUUGAGCAUAAAUAAAAAGUUUAACCUGCCCACUGAUAAAAUUAAAUGGCCGCAGUAUAUUAACUGUGCAAAGGUAGCAUAAUCAUUAGUCUUUUAAUUGAAGGCUGGAAUGAAUGGUUGGACGAAAUAUUUACUGUUUCAUAUUAAUUUUUGAUAAAAUUUUAUUUUUUAGUAAAAAAGCUAAAAUAAUAUUAAAAGACGAGAAGACCCUAUAAAUCUUUAUAUUUUAAUUAAUUUUUAUAAAUUAGAAAUUAAAUUAUUUAAUUUAAUUUAAAUAUUUUAUUGGGGUGAUAUUAAAAUUUAAUUAACUUUUAAUUUUAUUGAACAUUAAUUUAUGAAUUAUUGACUCAAUAAUAUUGAUUAUUAGAAUAAGUUACUUUAGGGAUAACAGCGUAAUUUUUUUGGAGAGUUCAUAUUGAUAAAAAAUAUUGCGACCUCGAUGUUGGAUUAAGAAAUAAAUUUAGGUGUAGAAGCUUAAAAAUUAAGUCUGUUCGACUUUUAAAUUCUUACGUGAUCUGAGUUUCAGA